rnacentral:rRNA from 1 species
UACGAAGGGGGCGAGCGUUGUUCGGAUUUACUGGGCGUAAAGGGCGCGUAGGCGGCGCGAGAAGUCGAGUGUGAAAGCCCCGGGCUCAACCUGGGAAUUGCGCUCGAUACUCUUGUGCUUGAGUUCGGGAGAGGAGCGUGGAAUUCCCAGUGUAGAGGUGAAAUUCGUAGAUAUUGGGAAGAACACCGGUGGCGAAGGCGGCAUCCUGGACCGGUAUUGACGCUGAUGCGCGAAAGCCAGGGGAGCAAACGGG